rnacentral:rRNA from 1 species
AUAUAGGUUAAGUUAUUAAGGGCGCAUGGUGGAUGCCUUGGCACUAGGAGCCGAUGAAGGACGUGACUAACUGCGAUAAGCUUCGGGGAGUUGUAAGUAAACUGUGAUCCGGAGAUUUCCGAAUGGGGAAACCCAACAGGAGUAAAGACCUGUUAUCACUGAGUGAAUACAUAGCUCAGUUGAAGGUAGACGUGGGGAACUGAAACAUCUAAGUACCCAUAGGAAGAGAAAGAAAAUUCGAUUCCCUGAGUAGCGGCGAGCGAAAAGGGAACAGCCCAAACCAAGAAGCUUGCUUCUUGGGGUUGUAGGACUGGACAUUUGAGUUACCAAGAAACGAAGUAGUUGAAUGAUUUGGGAAGAUCAGCCAGAGAAGGUGAUAGCCCUGUAAGCGAAACUUCGUUUCCUCAGCCCAGUAUCCUGAGUACGGCGGAACACGUGAAACUCCGUCGGAAUCCGGGAGGACCAUCUCCCAAGGCUAAAUACUCCCUAGUGACCGAUAGUGAACCAGUACCGUGAGGGAAAGGUGAAAAGCACCCCGGGAGGGGAGUGAAAUAGUUCCUGAAACCAUGUGCCUACAAGUAGUCAGAGCCCGUUAAUGGGUGAUGGCGUGCCUUUUGUAGAAUGAACCGGCGAGUUACGUUAGCGUGCGAGGUUAAGGCGCAAAGGCCGGAGCCGUAGCGAAAGCGAGUCUGAAUAGGGCGAAUGAGUACGUUGACGUAGACCCGAAACCAGGUGACCUACCCAUGUCCAGGUUGAAGGUGCGGUAAGACGCACUGGAGGACCGAACCCGUGUAUGUUGAAAAAUGCUGGGAUGAGGUGUGGGUAGAGGUGAAAUUCCAAACGAACUUGGAGAUAGCUGGUUCUCUCCGAAAUAGCUUUAGGGCUAGCCUCGGAGUUAAGGAUCGUGGAGGUAGAGCACUGUUUGGACUAGGGGCCCGUCUUGGGUUACUGAAUUCAGAUAAACUCCGAAUGCCACAGAUCUAUAUCCGGGAGUCAGACUGCGAGUGAUAAGAUCCGUAGUCGAAAGGGAAACAGCCCAGACCACCGAUUAAGGUCCCUAAAUAUGUGUUAAGUGGAAAAGGAUGUGGAAUUGCACAGACAACUAGGAUGUUGGCUUAGAAGCAGCCACCAUUUAAAGAGUGCGUAAUAGCUCACUAGUCGAGUGAUCCUGCGCCGAAAAUGUAACGGGGCUAAACACAUUACCGAAAUCGUGGAUGCAACUAUGUUGCAUGGUAGGAGAGCGUUCUAAGGGCGAUGAAGCUAGACCGUAAGGACUGGUGGAGCGCUUAGAAGUGAGAAUGCCGGUAUGAGUAGCGAAAGAUCAGUGAGAAUCUGGUCCACCGUAUGACUAAGGUUUCCUGGGGAAGGCUCGUCCUCCCAGGGUUAGUCGGGACCUAAGCCGAGGCCGAGAGGCGUAGGCGAUGGAUAACAGGUUGAGAUUCCUGUACUGGUUUGAUUUGUUUGAACGAUGGAGGGACGCAGGAGGCUAGAGAUGCGUGCUGUUGGAUAUGCACGUCCAAGCAACGAGUCUGAUGAUGAGUCAAAUGCUUAUCGUCUUAAGGACAAGUUGUGACGGGGAGCGAAAUUAAAGUAGCGAAGUGAUCGAUGUCACACUGCCGAGAAAAGCUUCUAGUUAGAAUCAGACCACCCGUACCGCAAACCGACACAGGUAGUCGAGGCGAGUAGCCUAAGGUGAGCGAGAGAACUCUCGUUAAGGAACUCGGCAAAAUGACCCCGUAACUUCGGGAGAAGGGGUGCUGCACAAUGUGCAGCCGCAGUGAAUAGGCCCAGGCGACUGUUUAUCAAAAACACAGGUUUCUGCAAAAUCGUAAGAUGAAGUAUAGGGGCUGACGCCUGCCCGGUGCUGGAAGGUUAAGAGGAUGGGUUAGCGUAAGCGAAGCUCAGAAUUGAAGCCC